UACGGAGGGUGCAAGCGUUGUCCGGAAUCACUGGGCGUAAAGGGCGCGUAGGCGGCUCAUGAAGGCUGUGGUGAAAGUCCGGGGCUCAACCUCGGAUCGGCCGUGGCGACUCGUGGGCUGGAGCACUGUAGAGGCGGGUGGAAUUCCGGGUGUAGCGGUGGAAUGCGUAGAGAUCCGGAAGAACACCGGUGGCGAAGGCGGCCCGCUGGGCAACUGCUGACACUGAGGCGCGACAGCGGUGGGGAGCAAACAGG
rnacentral:rRNA from 1 species